rnacentral:rRNA from 1 species
AUACGUAGGUGGCAAGCGUUGUCCGGAUUUACUGGGUGUAAAGGGCGAGUAGGCGGGACUGCAAGUCAGCUGUGAAAACCCGGGGCUUAACCCCGGGCCUGCAGUUGAAACUGUAGUUCUUGAGUGAUGGAGAGGCAGGCGGAAUUCCCGGUGUAGCGGUGGAAUGCGUAGAUAUCGGGAGGAACACCAGUGGCGAAGGCGGCCUGCUGGACAUUAACUGACGCUGAGGAGCGAAAGCGUGGGGAGC